rnacentral:rRNA from 1 species
UACGUAGGUGGCGAGCGUUAUCCGGAAUUAUUGGGCGUAAAGAGCGCGCAGGUGGUUAAUUAAGUCUGAUGUGAAAGCCCACGGCUUAACCGUGGAGGGUCAUUGGAAACUGGUUGACUUGAGUGCAGAAGAGGGAAGUGGAAUUCCAUGUGUAGCGGUGAAAUGCGUAGAGAUAUGGAGGAACACCAGUGGCGAAGGCGGCUUCCUGGUCUGCAACUGACACUGAGGCGCGAAAGCGUGGGGAGCAAACAGG